GAUCCUGCCAGUAGUCAUAUGCUUGUCUCAAAGAUUAAGCCAUGCAUGUCUAAGUACAAGCCUCACUAAGGUGAAACCGCGAAUGGCUCAUUAAAUCACACCUAAUGUACUGGACAGUCUCAGUUACUUGGAUAACUGCGGUAAUUCUGGAGCUAAUACAUGCGUACUAGCCGCGACUCACGGAGCGGUGCUUUUAUUAGAUCAAAACCAAACGGCCUCGAGCCGUCCCCCUGGUGAUUCUGAAUAACUUUGGGCUGAUCGCACGGCCUCGAGCCGGCGACGUGUCCUUCCAAGGUGUGCCCUAUCAACUGUCGACUGUGGCAUAGACGCCCACAGUGGUUUUGACGGGUAACGGGGAAUUAGGGUUCGAUUCCGGAGAGGGAGCCUGAGAAACGGCUACCACUUCUACGGAAGGCAGCAGGCACGCAAAUUACCCACUGGCCGCAGGCCGAGGUAGUGACGAAAAAUAACGAUACCGGACUCAUCCGAGGCCCGGUAAUCGGAAUGAGUACACUUUAAAUCCUUUAACGAGGAACAAUUGGAGGGCAAGUCUGGUGCCAGCAGCCGCGGUAAUUCCAGCUCCAAUAGCGUAUAUUAAAGUUGUUGCGGUUAAAAAGCUCGUAGUUGGAUCUCGGCGGGCAGGGGGUGGUUCGCUCUUCAGCGCUACUGCCCCGCUUUGCCCGUGUGAUUGGCGGAGGUUUCGGGGUGCUCUUCGUUGAGUGACUCGGAGCGCCGUCAGGUUUACUUUGAAAAAAUUAGAGUGCUCAAAGCAGGCUUUUCACGCUUGAAUAUUCGUGCAUGGAAUAAUGGAAUAGGAACUCGUUUCUAUUUUGUUGGUUUUCGGAAAUCGAGUUAAUGAUUAACAGGGACAAUUGGGGGCAUUAGUAUUCAGACGACAGAGGUGAAAUUCUUGGACCGUCUGAAGACUGACUACUGCGAAAGCAUUUGCCAAGAGUGUUUUCAUUAAUCAAGAACGAAAGUUAGAGGUUCGAAGGCGAUCAGAUACCGCCCUAGUUCUAACCAUAAACGAUGCCAGCUAGCGAUCUGCCGAGUUUUUUUUGUAGGCUCCGCAGGAAGCUUUCGGGAAACCAAAGCUUUUGGGUUCCGGGGGAAGUAUGGUUGCAAAGCUGAAACUUAAAGGAAUUGACGG
rnacentral:rRNA from 1 species